rnacentral:rRNA from 1 species
GACGAACGCUGGCGGCGUGCUUAACACAUGCAAGUCGAACGAAAAGGCCCUGCUUUUGUGGGGUGCUCGAGUGGCGAACGGGUGAGUAACACGUGAGUAACCUGCCCUUGACUUUGGGAUAACUUCAGGAAACUGGGGCUAAUACCGGAUAGGAGCUCCUGCUGCAUGGUGGGGGUUGGAAAGUUUCGGCGGUUGGGGAUGGACUCGCGGCUUAUCAGCUUGUUGGUGGGGUAGUGGCUUACCAAGGCUUUGACGGGUAGCCGGCCUGAGAGGGUGACCGGCCACAUUGGGACUGAGAUACGGCCCAGACUCCUACGGGAGGCAGCAGUGGGGAAUAGUGCACAAUGGGCGGAAGCCUGAUGCAGCAACGCCGGGUGCGGGAUGACGGCCUUCGGGUUGUAAACCGCUUUCGCCUGUGACGAAGCGUGAGUGACGGUAAUGGGUAAAGAAGCACCGGCUAACUACGU